rnacentral:rRNA from 1 species
GUUGAACGCUGGCGGCGUGCUUAACACAUGCAAGUCGAACGGUGAACACGGAGCUUGCUCUGUGGGAUCAGUGGCGAACGGGUGAGUAACACGUGAGCAACCUGCCCCUGACUCUGGGAUAAGCGCUGGAAACGGCGUCUAAUACUGGAUAUGUGACGUGACCGCAUGGUCUGCGUUUGGAAAGAUUUUUCGGUUGGGGAUGGGCUCGCGGCCUAUCAGCUUGUUGGUGAGGUAAUGGCUCACCAAGGCGUCGACGGGUAGCCGGCCUGAGAGGGUGACCGGCCACACUGGGACUGAGACACGGCCCAGACUCCUACGGGAGGCAGCAGUGGGGAAUAUUGCACAAUGGGCGCAAGCCUGAUGCAGCAACGCCGCGUGAGGGAUGACGGCCUUCGGGUUGUAAACCUCUUUUAGCAGGGAAGAAGCGAAAGUGACGGUACCUGCAGAAAAAGCGCCGGCUAACUACGUG